rnacentral:tRNA from 1 species
GGGGGUAUAGCUCAGUUGGUAGAGCAUCGGCCUUUUAAGCCGCUGGUCGCAGGUUCGAAUCCUGCUGCCCCCACCA